UAGCACUCCCCCAGCAGGACGGGCUCUGAGUUCUGUACCCGCCCCUUUGCAGCACCCCCACCAGUUCCCCAACCUGGCAAGCAAGCUUUCCUCCUCUGCCUUCUCCCUGCACCCACACAUUCUUCCAAACGACAACAACUCCAGGACCUCAGAGCUGCAAAGUUUGCCAGUAGAAGCCCUGCAGCUGUUGUCAGAGAGCCGAAGAUCACGGUUACAGAAGAUUUCUGAAUGUUUUAUUCCUCCCCUCUCUGAGCCUCGGGGUGGCCUGGUUUAUAAGAACUAUCUGGAAUUCUGGAAGAAACCUCUCACCCUUAUUUCUGCUGUGGCUUUAUGCUGGUUUUGUCCAGUGAACCUACUAUUCUCUAAGGAACCUGAAAACCUAGAUCCCAAAGAAAAUAAAGUCAUCAUUUUGAAGUGUGCUGUUCUUUUGAAGCUCAAACUGGGGUCCACGGGAAACCACUGAUUUUACAGCAAUUUCUCCACUUAGGUAAAAUAUUUACCUGAUUAUUUAUAUGAAGUUAGAAUCAGGUUUCAAAGGUGUUCCUGGGAUGAAAACAUAAUUUUACAUGAUGUGUUUAUUUGAUGAUACAACUUCAUGAGAUAAAUGGCUUAUGAGAAGAAGUUGUAGCAUUUCAUCUAAUUCUUCCUUUCUUUACACCAGGUCUUGAAUCUCCAAAAUUGCUUCCAUAUCAUAAAUACUACGUGAUGUAAACAAGUGGGUUUUUAGGCAUGAAAAUAUUCACCCCACAAUUUGGGUACAUCAUGGUCACCCCGAAAUUGUAUUUUCUCAGGAUUUCUCCAAUGGACAUCCA
rnacentral:lncRNA from 1 species